ensembl:lncRNA
AAAAUAUCAUGUGGAACACAACUGUUGCACAAAACAUUAAUACGUCUCAGUAGCUUUAAAAAAAAAAAUAUAUGAAAAAAAAACUAUAUAAAAUAUAACUAUAUAAUAUACAUUUUGUAGUACGCCACAAAUAUAGCGCGUCCGAAUGCUCAGUACGCAUUGUGUAGGACGGAAAACGUUUCCGAAUGCGUACUACCGCCACAGUAUACAACAGAGUUCACUACGCUAUCCCACAAUGCAACCGGAGUCUGGUAACGAACGAAGAAGAGAUGGCUAACCCGACACCACCAACAGCGGCUCCCGCAAAUUUUGAAAUAUCGAAAAGUAUUAAAUGUUUCUUUAAUUUAAUAACAUUUUUAAUUUAAUAGCAACGAUGACAAGACGGAAAACAGGUAACUUAUCAAGGUAAUUUUGCCGGCAUAUGAGGGAAGAUACGUCAUCUCCAAACCAGGGUUCACGUUAGCCGGCUAUAGCCGGACAUUGGCCGAUUGCACGCACGCAUGGCCGGUAUAAUAAAAUGUAAACGGCCCACAUGUCCGAGAAAAAAAAGAAAGAAGUUCGAUCUUGUCGCCCCGUCGCGUUUGGUGUGAACGCACAAAUCUUUCCCGACUGGGCAAAGCUGGCCAAAAUCGGCAGUACAAUCCCCCGAAGUUGCGCCGAAAGUAGCCUUCAAGAAUUGCAAUUAUCGAAUGAAUUAUUUUUUACCCGUUUACCAUUUUUGCCGAGAAUGGCUGUUAUGUUUUUUUGCCUAGGCUAAUUUAAUAAAUGGCAUUUAUUGAAGCUACUUAGUUUGUGUCGUUUGUCGUUUAAAUGUGGCCUUUUGGUGAUUAUUUAAUUAUCAGUGAAUAACGUCCGGAAGAUAUUCCAAAUGUCCGAUAUUCUGGAAUAGUGUCGGACAUUUGUCCGCCCAAGAAAAAGUCUAGCUUGAACGCUGCUCCAAACAUCCGGUGGAGUUUCGGCGGUGUUCGGAAGCGUUCGGAGGCGUUCUACGCAUAGCUGUAUACCGUACUACACUGUCAAGUGUAGUACGGUCAAGUAGUAGACGCUUAACAGAAAUAGUAUGUACUAAGUAUUCGGAUUCAGCCCAUCUUUCGGGGGAAUGCUACCAGAGCCCGUCUACGAAGAGCCUAGGCACUUCCUAUCCGCCCCAUUGUAACGAUGGUGGUUGUAGUUCCAUUAGACAUCCACUGGGGGCGAGUCCAGAUUGAAUGGGAGUCUAUGGGGCUAGACGGCUAAAUAUAUCUGUUUCACCUGCUUGUCGUUGAAAUAUCGCAAAUUUUAUUGUAGAUUCCGCAAGUUCAAUAUAGAUUAUAGUUCAAAAGUCGAAUGAAUGAGUACUUAUGUCCUUUCGAUUUCUUACAGUUUGUGCCCUUGUUGGCCGUACACGCUAACAUUCUGCUAAUGAAUGCUGAUUGGUCAGGGACGGACAUGCGACUGAUUACGACCAGAGACCCCUCUUGAUUAGCCUGGCACCGCCCACCUACCUACUUCCGCUAAAUUUUCAUUUCAUUUCAGUACUAGGUCUGGGUCUGCUUAAUGUCAAUGCGUUUCAUGUAAACCAGAUUUCUGCGAUCAGCGAACAGAGGGAGUGGUUGAGAACGAUGACGUCUAGGUCGUGCGACAGUUUCAGUUGUAGUCAGAGGAAGACAAUGGAGAAGGAUACGAGAGAAGCUAUUCGGUCUGUUGUGGGAUCGCUGCCGGAAAUCGAUCAAUUAAAGCCGGAGCAAGAACAAGCUUU